rnacentral:rRNA from 1 species
CCUACGGGAGGCAGCAGUGGGGAAUCUUGCGCAAUGGGCGAAAGCCUGACGCAGCCAUGCCGCGUGAAUGAUGAAGGUCUUAGGAUUGUAAAAUUCUUUCACCGGGGACGAUAAUGACGGUACCCGGAGAAGAAGCCCCGGCUAACUUCGUGCCAGCAGCCGCGGUAAUACGAAGGGGGCUAGCGUUGCUCGGAAUUACUGGGCGUAAAGGGAGCGUAGGCGGAUAGUUUAGUCAGAGGUGAAAGCCCAGGGCUCAACCUUGGAAUUGCCUUUGAUACUGGCUACCUUGAGUGUGGGAGAGGUAUGUGGAACUCCGAGUGUAGAGGUGAAAUUCGUAGAUAUUCGGAAGAACACCAGUGGCGAAGGCGACAUACUGGCCCAUUACUGACGCUGAGGCUCGAAAGCGUGGGGAGCAAACAGGAUUAGAUACCCUGGUAGUCCACGCUGUAAACGAUGAGUGCUAGUUGUCGGCAGGCAUGCCUGUCGGUGACGCAGCUAACGCAUUAAGCACUCCGCCUGGGGAGUACGGUCGCAAGAUUAAAACUCAAAUGAAUUGACGG